rnacentral:lncRNA from 1 species
AAACUUCGACCCAAAUUUUCCUCCAAUCUCCAGAGCCACCCUGCACACCUCGUCAUCCGCAUUCUCCACAGCAAGCCUAUCCAGAAGCUGCACAAUUCCAGGUCUCUGUCUCGGCGAGCAAAAACUCGAGGCUGUGAUCACAGCAAGGCGAGUCUCCACAGUGAGUGCAUGAUUCAAAGUCGUGAGCUGCUCCUUGAUCCGAGCAGUGAUCUCUUCAGUGCGUCGGUUUUGCUUGACAAGCCCUUGUCCAAAAAAUGCCUUCAACACACGGGCAUCCAAGUUCCCACUCUUGGUCGAGCCAGUAAAUCUUUGAAUCUUCACAUUCGCGGCUGCCAAUUCCUUUCCAAGCUCCUCUAUGACGACUGAUCUCACCCGGGUGAUAGGGCCAGACUCACCUGCUGCUUGAAGAUCCAGUAACAAACUCCCCGCAUGAUCCACACAAGAGACUAGAUCUUGCAGCUUGAGUGGUGCAUUUUUAAGCUCUUCCCUCACUUGGAGUAUGUGUUGCACAAGUUUUAUUGCCAGAUCUACCAAGCCGACCACACUUCCUGCCGUGUCCAUCUUACAAAACCUAUGGUAUGCUCCUCCUUUCAUCCUAGGAUUCCAGUGACAGUCAACACGGAAGGAAUUAUUCGAGCCAUUGCGAAACACUUAAGUCAGUAAAGAUGCCCUUUGUUGAAUAGCACUUUUUUCUUUAGGAUUCCCCCUGCUCCUUCCACUCAUCAAUUAGAGCACGAAAGGAGAGUUGUGUUUGGCACUGCUUGUCUCCGACGCCAUCUACAUCAAUGGAGCUCACCGGGUUCCAUAUCUUAUCUUCGCAGGUACGUAGCUUUCGAUUCCUUUCUCCUUUCUACGUCUUCUUUGAUUCUCUUGCGCGUUUUCUUUGAUGUACUGUUCUUAGAUUUUCUUCCAAGUUUCCUCUAGAGAGAUUCUUGUGAAGGAGCUAGAUGGGUUGGAGGUCAAGGGCGUCCAGGCAGAAAGUGUUAGCAUGGGUGGGUAAAGGGAACGCUUAAUGAUUCUUUGAAAAUAGAACGUCAGCAUAUACAUCUCCAAAUCGGGAUGCAUUCCAUCACCGUGGUGUUACUCUCGCAGCUGGAUCAUUUUGGUCUCGAGCUAAAGGAAAGAGCGCAGUACUGGGCUUUAGACUUUGGAUGGAGAUAAAAUCAUCCAGGGAAUUCGAAGCUUUUGCCUUUCGAGCCAAGCGUUGUUGCUUGUUUUUGGACGCUUGAGUUGCGUGUGGAUUAUCUUCUGGCGAAACAUCAUCCAGUGAGCUCAAAAGGUACAUGGAAUUGAAAAAGUCAAAAGAUGGUGGAACUGGUCUUACAUAGUCCAUCUGUAGGGCAAGCACGAUCAUGGAAGCAAUAGAUCACUUCUUGAGUGUCAUCCCAGUUCCGGCCUAUGGCCCUGCAACUGGGCAGCUCAAGCUGGAGAUUGAGUCGGCAGUGCAACGCCUCGAGGAGCAAUGCGGGGUAAGCCUUUGCAGUUGCAGCAGCAGUAGCAGCAAGAUUGAUCUCUCCAUCUGCGCCAGCAUGGCUUAUGCCAUGGUUCAUCUGGACAGAGUCAGCGACGCCAUUCUGUUAUUCGAAUCGAUUCAAGAGCGAGCUGCAAGCGAGGGGUAUGUCAGGUUCCAAGUCCUGGCCUUGAUCGAGAGAGGCAUCCUGCUCAGACCCGGUGUGGAAGAGCUGGAAUCCGCGAAGGCGGAUCUUGAGGCAGGACUGAGACUGGCGCAAGAUCAUCUGGGUGACGAUCUGAAUGAGGUUUUCCAGCUGAAUACCGUGGAGCGGGGCAAGUUCGAGCUGGGCUGGCUGCUGUUUGACAAAGGAGAGUUUGGCAGCGCAGUGGAGUAUCUCAAAGCGGGGCUCGCACCGCAUAUCGUCUACCACGCCGCGGGGGUGCACAGCUUCCUAGGAGACGCGUACCGCCGCUUAGGGGAACUUGACUUGGCGUUGGAGCAUGCCAAUGCAUGCGUCAGCUUGGGUGGCGGGCGGCAAUUCAACGGAUACAAGUUGCUUGGAUUCGUUUACAUGGAUCGAAAAGAGUACAAGCAGGCAGUGGAAUCUUUCCGGGAGAUGGCACUGGCCGCCGGAGAAGAGGAGAUUUUUGGAGUGGCGAGCUUUGGCUGGUGGGCUGCAGGUUGUUUGGCAGUGGAACAUUGCAGUGACUGUGACCAGGCUGUGGAUUGCUUGGUGUGGAGCUUGAAAGCGGCACUUCGAAUCCAGGGAGAUUUGCAGCUGCAAGCCAGGCGGCUUGCGAGUGCAAAUAUCUGGCUGCUAAAUUGUCUCCUCGUCCAGCAGCACGGCAGGGUGAUAUCCGAGUUUUUCGGUGAGUGCGAUGAGGAUGGUGGUGCUCAGAUGGUUCUUCCACGCUCCAUGCAAGUUCUCACGGGCGAAGCAUACGGGCUGCUUGGCGUGGUUAUGCUCUCCCGUGGCUCGCUAGACGAUGCUUACGAGCACUUGGACAGGGGCAUUAGUUUGCUGCCAGGAGACGAGACGGAGUUGCUGUUUCGUUUCCAUCGUGCAAUGGGGUUGCUGCUCUCCCGGAGGUCGGAGCACGAUAAGGCCUUGGAGAGGUUUGAGCUGUGCACUGCAUUGGCUCCAACGGAGAGAGACAAGGUUUCUUCACACAUCAGGUGCUGCCUCGAGGUGAAGUCGUGCUUGGAUAUAGUGAGAGCUUUCGAGAUGUUUGGCCGCAUUCAAGCGGAGCACGCGGCUUUGCUGGAGACGGACUGGGAUCUGAGAGUAGAUGUUAUGCUGGGAGUCGGGAAGUGCCUGUUUGCGCUUGGAAACAACAUCCAAGCUCAAGCGAAGCUGGAGAUCGCAAAGGAAACUUUGGAAGCGAGGGAGUGCUUGGACAAUCGCCUGGGCAUGGUGUACUCCAUACUCUUUUUGUGUUACGUCCAGAGCAGCCGUUUCAGCGCUGCUUUCGAUCUGGCCAGCCGGUUCAAGAGCAAGUAUGGCGAAGACCCUCACUUGAUGUUCUACUAUGGCGUUGCAAACCGGCUCCUCGGAGACAAUGAGGCAUCCGUCAAGACGCUAACGGACUUGCUUGAAGCCUCGAAGCAUUGGACGCUCAGGUACUCGACGCUAAAUGGUCUGGCAUACGCAUAUAGAAAGAUGGGAGACUUGGAUUCGGCUCUUGACAAGUUUGAUCAGGCUCUGGAAGAGAUUCCCGACGACAUGUCGAUACAUGCGGCACAGGUUUAUAUCAACCGCGCAGGACUGUUCAAUGACAGAGGAGCUGAGCAACAACGCAAAGGCAAUCCUGUCCCGGCUAUGGCCUCCUUCGAGAAAGCGCUGGCUGAGUACGAUCGAGCAGUACAAAUCAUGCGGAGAUUCGGCGAGUGGAACCUGCAAGAUCUUGUGAGAGCUUAUGCCGGGGAAGCAGUGGUUCACUUCCACAUGAAAAACUACAGCGUUGCUAUGCUUAAGCUGGACAGUGCUACGAGCCUGGUAAGCAGUGACGAUGCACUGCUCAUGGGAAAGAUCAAACGCAUUCGGGCUUCUAUACUCGCGACAGAAGGAAGAAUGGAGGAGUCGGCCUCGGAAGCUCGUGAAGCAGCUCACCUGUUUGCGGACGUCCAGAUGGAACUGCAAAACAUGGAGUCUGCUUGGGUGACUCUUCUGGAUGACGAUAUGAAGCACAUAUACUAUUUCUUGCAGAAGAUCUCAUCGAAGGCAAACAGUUUCGUGGAUGCACUCUUGUGGGCCGAGAGGAGUCGCAUGAGAUUGUACUUUCACUUGGCCGACCAAGCUCUUAGAAACUCCACUCCCGCAAGUCCAAAGUUACUGGACCCUUUGGCAUUCGACAAGGACGAUCACCACGCUGCAAGCUGCAUCAAAGAGGCUGUUGCGAGAGCUGGCUGUAACUCAGUGGUGGUGGAGUAUGCAUUCUCGGCAAACCAUCCACUCUCUUCACUACUCAUCUACGUUGUGCAUUCCACACCAGGGGAGGAUUUCACUGUCCGCUUCAAGCGCGUCCGCUUGCAGGAAUUCUUUGCUUCCAAGGAAAACAAGGUGAUGGGUGGAAAUCUAGACGCGCUCAUCAGGAAGGCCAGAACAGUGAUCCAACGCGAGAGCCACGAGGCAGAGGCAAAGGUGGCGCUGGGGAUUCUCUACAAGCUCACUGUCCUGCCUGUUUGGGAGCACAUCGAGCCCCAUGACACCGUCAUCUUUGCUCCACAAGGAACCAUGUCAGUCGUCCCGUUUGCCGCACUAUACGAUGGAUCCGAAGGCCGGUUCCUCGUCGAGAAGAAGAAUGUGGGAGUCAUCCCUUCCAUCCGAGCUCUGCGACGCUGCCAGCUCCACCAAGAGCAUCACCACGAUAUCGACGAGCCAUCUUUCUUCGUUGCUGGGGAUCCGGAGCCAAUGGGUCUCGAUCAGCCUCAACUUCCAGGUGCGAGGAAAGAAGCGGAGGAGAUUGCCAAGCAGCUCGGCGUGGAUGCGUUAGUCGGCGCAGCCAUGACAAAGAGCUCCGUCAUGCAAGCGCUGUCCAGCGCGUCCGUGCGUGUAGCCGUGCUCGCAACUCACGGGCUGGUGAGCCCGGCUUAUCCUCACGGUGCCUUGGUCAUGCAAGGGCAAAACCAGCAGCAAGGAUUCAACGAGCUUACAGUGGGUGUGACGAGCAGCCUCCGCCGAGAGGUCGAUCUUGCUUUGAAGCAACAAGCUGUGCUCCACGAUCAAGUUCUCACUGCCAAGGAGAUUGAGCGGCUGGAGAAGGGCAUCGCGGCUCGUCUCGUGGUUCUGAGCGCUUGUCAAACGGGCGAUGGCGUGGUUACCAGCGAGGGAUUGCUGGGGCUCGGGCGAGCAGUGUUGCAGGCUGGUGCGGCGUGUGUGCUUGUCACGCUGUGGAAAGUGGACGAUGCUGCCACACUGCAACUCAUGACUGGUAUCAAAACUUUUCCUUUUCGUUUCGUUUCUUACUUUGUUGCACAGGUGUGUUUGAAGAGCUCAACAAGCAACAUACCAUUGUCGAGGCCGUGAGGUUUUCGAUGCUCAAGUUGAUCGAUUCUGGAAAGCCCAUCCGCUUCUGGGCUCCUCUGGUUGCUCUAGGAAGUCCCACAUUGAGAAUAAGUUUGGCUGAGGAAGCUUAAGCUCCAGCCCAAUUCCACAAACUAGACUAAACACUUCAAUGUCGAAUUCGUAAUUACACUGGCAUGAUGUCAAAGAUGUAUUUCCUGACAAUUAUUUUGCUUGAGAUGUUGAUGUUAUCCUGGAUAUCUUUCAUCUCUAGCGCUCUGUGUGGUUCAUCUGUGGAAGACAAAACAGUUUAGAAAGCGAUAAGAAAAAAGAACUUUGAGAAGAAACCUUCAUGUAGUUUCGCCCCUGCGAAAACAAUGUAAACAAUCUGCUGCUCAACUUGUGUGAAGCUGGGAUCAGAGCUCUCGAUGCGGAAACUUAUGGGAUCACGCCUACUUUUCACUUGGUCUGGAAAAAAUCGCUUGAACUUGCUGUAAUGCAAUACAAAAUGUUAGGGAGUGUCUCAAAGUGUCUCAGGAAGUGCUAUAAAGUUAUGCUUGCAUGAACUUUACCUGUUAAGGCUAUGGUUUGCUAAAGAGUGAUUCGGAUAGAACAGCUCAACCAAUGCUUUGGUGCAAUCAAAGGUGACAACAUAGAAAAAGUAGUCGUCUUCAUCCACCGAUAUCUCAAACCUGAUCUUGGUAGAGUUUUCGAUCUCAUAACCUCCCUCUCGGGCCGCCCUUUUCAAGUCAUUAGAUUCUGGAGUUCUAGACAAAAACUUCGACCCAAAUUUUCCUCCAAUCUCCAGAGCCACCCUGCACACCUCGUCAUCCGCAUUCUCCACAGCAAGCCUAUCCAGAAGCUGCACAAUUCCAGGUCUCUGUCUCGGCGAGCAAAAACUCGAGGCUGUGAUCACAGCAAGGCGAGUCUCCACAGUGAGUGCAUGAUUCAAAGUCGUGAGCUGCUCCUUGAUCC